ensembl:snRNA U6 U6 spliceosomal RNA
GUGCUUGCUUCGGCAGUACAUGUAUUAAAAUUGGAAGGAUACAGAGGUUAGUGUGACCCCUGAGCAAGGUUGACAUGAGAAUCUGUGAAGUGUUCCAUAUUUUU